rnacentral:rRNA from 1 species
UACGUAGGGUGCAAGCGUUGUCCGGAUUUAUUGGGCGUAAAGAGCUCGUAGGCGGUUUGAUAAGUCGGAUGUGAAACCCCCAGGCUUAACCUGGGGCCGCCAUUCGAUACUGUCAUGGCUAGAGUCCGGUAGGGGACCAUGGAAUUCCUGGUGUAGCGGUGAAAUGCGCAGAUAUCAGGAGGAACACCAGUGGCGAAGGCGGUGGUCUGGGCCGGAACUGACGCUGAGGAGCGAAAGCGUGGGGA